rnacentral:rRNA from 1 species
AAUUCGAUUACAAAACCCCUCUACGUGUAGAGGGCUGAUGGUACUCUGAGAAUAAGGGUCGGCUAACUUCGUGCCAGCAGCCGCGGUAAUACGAAGGACCCGAGCGUUAUCCGGAUUUAUUGGGUUUAAAGGGUGCGUAGGCGGAUUUACAAGUCAGUGGUGAAAUCUCCCAGCUUAACUGGGAAACUGCCAUUGAAACUAUUUAUCUUGAGUACAUUUGAGGCGGGCGGAAUGUAUCAUGUAGAGGUGAAAUUCUUAGAUAUGACACAGAACACCAAUUGCGAAGGCAGCUCGCUAAACUGUAACUGACGCUGAGGCACGAAAGUGUGGGUAGCAAACAGGAUUAGAUACCCUGGUAGUCCACACCCUAAACGAUGAUUACUCGAUGUGUGCGAUACACAGCACGCGUCUAAGCGAAAGCAUUAAGUAAUCCACCUGGGAAGUACGUCCGCAAGGAUGAAACUCAAAGGAAUUGACGGAAUCACUA